GUGCAAUUCGUUUCUUCUCAAUGCUUCUGCUUCACUGUGGUUCGUCACAGCUCCAGGGAAAUCCUCCAUUGUUGGGGCUUGAAUUCAAUUCAACGUGUAUCCGUUACACAUGCUAAAUACUACUCUUCUUGGGAAAACCAGCUCAGUUGAUUAUGUACUAGGAUUGAAGAUUUCUCCUGAUUAUGUUGACAAAACCUAGGGUACAUAUCAAAUAAUUACUGUCUUAUGUCUCUUAUCUACCAUGGGGGGCAGAUAUGCAUUCAUAGCAACUAUCAGAUGCUAAUUCCUUUGUAUCCUUCCUAGGUUUUGUGUUAGUUACUAGCAAAUCAACUGCUUUUCUGGACCAAAUGCUAAUUCAUCAAUUUCCCAUCGUUUCUUCGCGUAGGUACUUCUAGAUUUCAUCUUACUGGGAUAACUGGUCUGCUUUCUCGUUAUGAGGGGAGAGAGUGUUGAUGGAAAUGGAUGGAACCAGUCCCCGUAUGGAAUCCGUUCAAUAGAUUUUUGACUUGCUCAGACUGCAAACUACACUCAAGACGAGAUUAAAAAAAAAAAAACUACACUCCUUUCUUCUAGCCUCUAUUAUCAUCACUUUCAUUUCAAAGCAAAGGUGUCUAAAGAAGGUAUAGUACUUCCUAUCUUGCCUAUGCAAAUGAUUUGUGCUCCUUGGGUUAGGUAUUUUUGCCCUCAGUAUUAGUGCUUGUUCCUCAAUCCGUAGCUAUUUCAAGGGAAGGACAGGCGGAAAAUUGUCCAUGGCGGUGGUCAACAUUGAGGGCAAACUGCCUAUUGGUUGGCCAUUUUGUAAGUCCAAACCUGGUUGCCUCAUGUGUCAAAUUACACACCCAUUAUGCUUAGAUGGAUCUGCUAUUCCUUUUAUGAUAUUGCAACUGCAGUUAGUCACUUUGUGUUAAUACUCAAUUUAUGGGUAUUUUUAUGUAAGUAUUUUGUUUAAUGUUAAUGUGCUGUUAUUUCUC